rnacentral:rRNA from 1 species
UGGGGAAUAUUGGACAAUGGGGGCAACCCUGAUCCAGCGACGCCGCGUGUGUGAAGAAGGCCUGCGGGUUGUAAAGCACUUUUAGUGGGGAGGAAGGCCGCCGACCUAAUACGUCGGAGGAUUGACUUAACCACCGGAAAAGGACCGGCCAAACCCGUGCCAGCAACCGGGGUAAAACAGAGGGUGGGAGCGGUAAUCGGAAUUACUGGGCGGUAAGCCGUCGUAGGCGGUUUCGUAAGUCGGGUGUGAAAGCCCCGGGCUCAACCUGGGAAUUGCAUUCGAGACUGCGGAGCUGGAGUGCGGAAGAGGGAAGUGGAAUUUCCGGUGUAGCGGUGAAAUGCGUAGAUAUCGGAAGGAACAUCAGUGGCGAAAGCGACUUCCUGGUCCAGCACUGACGCUCAGGCACGAAAGCGUGGGGAGCAAACA